AUUUGCGGGAAGGAGACACUUUUCCUGUCUACUUCUGUUUUCAGGAUGCCAAGGACAGAGCUGACAGCUUAAGGCUGCUGCUAAAGGUCCCCUCGUCCCCGCCUGCUCCCCAGCUUUUCCACCUCCAUCUGCUGUCUCAGGCUGGAGUUUUCGGAGGUGCCUGGGCAGGACCCGGUGAGAGGAACAAGCUUUGGUUCCCAUGAAAACCCCAGCCCCAUUCUUCAAAGCCUCCAGCCCAAGGGCUCCCAGGAUUUCCCCUCUGCUGAGUGACUUAACUUUUUCCUUUCACACCAAAACUGCAGCCAGGCAUUCAUCGAGAGCCUCAUCCUCAGCUGGGGGAACACGGAAACAAACACCCACCUUUGCCGCUGACGUGCAGCACCCUUAGUCUCAAGCCGACCGGUGGAUCCAGCGAACGAUCAGCAUCGAGGGAACAUCAGCUGAUGAGACAGAUGGGCGACUGCCGGAUCAUCACUUGUCUCGCUCCCUCCGAAACGUAAGAGCAUCCAUGGUGCAGCCGGAAUCACCGGGGUGGGGAUGGAGAGGCCAGGGCCCUCCGCGUGCCGCUGUGGCUCAGAUGGUGGCGACUGAGGGGGCUGAGGGUUCUCAACAGCGUACUCUGUCCUCCUGUAAGACAAGUGCUGCCGGGCUGCAUUAUAGGGACAUCUUGAACUGGCGUGCAGUUUGGAAGGAGUUGGCCCAGGGAAGAGCCACGGCAUGAACUGCGGCGUCUGCAUCUUUGGACAGCAGGCUGCAUGGCGGGGAGCACAAUGGUAGAUGGACGAGUCUGUCCUGGAUGUUUUUCAAGUGGAGAUUAACCACUGAGUAGGUUCUUUUUAUUUAAGAUGCCGUAUGUCUCUUCUCUCUAAAUAUCUCUUCCAUCAGAUACCGCUGUGAUUCCAAGUCUGCCUUCCAACCCUGCCUUUGAGACACGAUUGCAAACACUUCAUAAAACCGUGUUAGAGCAGAGAUGGAAAAUGCUUUGAUGGCCCCUUCUGUCCAUUCCUCCAUGUACGUCACGCCUGGACGUACCCACAGCUGCUUUGUCUACUCUUGCUCAGAGCAGGGCCGCCGCGGCGUGCCCGGGAAAUGCACAUCUCUGGGUGCUGGAGAAGGUUUCUGGGCAGAGUUUGACUCCAGUGACUCAUUUGAUUACACCACAAGUUCUCCUCUCCGCCUGCGAAAUGCGGAUAGCAACGCUAUCCUUUUCCCCUGCUGUGAGCUUCAAUAUAUCAAGGAUUUUGAGGCACUUAAUACUAUGUAAAUGGGAGACGUAUCAGCUGUGCCUCAGAUAAAUGAAUUUCACUUAGAUUGAUGGGUGUGAAGGACUUCCAAAAUUAGACCUAUUCUUCUUAAAUCAAACAGUUUCCCCAAGCCAGUUCAGCUCCAUUGAUGUAGAGGAAGUCAUCAAGCUGCGAUUCAUCAUUGGGUUCAAUCAAAGACCUUCAAUAUGCUGACCCUCCAUGGGCUUCCUCCGCUGCAGAGGGAGCCAGAGCUUGGCCGGAGGCGUGAGGAGCAGGACACUUCAUCUCUGCACAUGGGGCAUCCACGGCUUUCCUGCCUUGGAUUUACAGACCCAAGUCAGGUGUCCUGAACACAGCUUGGAGAAUCACCUGGAUAUUCAGGGUCAUCUUCACAGUGUUUACGUUCCAGCAGAUUUGAGCUGCAGAAGACUUUUUUCCCCCAAAAUAUUUGCCUGAUUGCCCUGGAUUGGAAACUAAUAAAUCCAACUUUGUUAUCUCUGACAUCCCUGCCUCUCUCCCACAGGUCUCUGCAACUUCCAUUGCAGGACUGGCACUGUUUCGAGGGAUUAGGAGUGGAAAAGCAGUGCACAGCACCCCAAGUGUCUGCGCUGGACUGUAUUGAUGCCAUUAAAUGCUCUGUGACCUACAGAUAAUAUCAUAAACCUCAUUUUGUUCAGUUAACAAACAGCAAAUCCUUCUAACACACAGCGGCAUCACCAUCAAAAUGCAGCGAGUGAUGCUGUACAAACCACACCAAGCUGUUGACUUCAUAUUUGCUCGCGUGAUGGGGCUGCCACCCAUCCCGAGCCUCACAAGUGUCCAGAGGGGUCCACAGGUACCCCGCGCCUCUCCGAGGCUGGAAUUUCUCCUCUUCCCUCUGACAAAACCCAAGCACCUCCUGACUACAAGUAUCCGUCUGGUGUUUAUGUGCGGAGGAGCUCAGCUCUCUCCAACUUUUUAACUGCGGAUAAUCAACAAAGCUGGGCAAAUAAUUCAGUGCAUAUAAUUUAUUCUAUGAAUGCUAAUUCUCUGCCCACAAGCAGAUUGUGCUUCUCACAAAGGGAUUGGUCUUGUGAAAUUAUGCAGGGGAGCUGCCGCCUUGGCCUGUAGCUCGUUCAGCCGUCUGGCAGCGAGAGUUCAACACCCUGAGCACUGCAACGCCGGCCGCUCGCUCGCUUACGAUUAGGUGCCUCUCUCACAUUGUAUUUCUUCUGCUGAUAACCUGGGAGAAAUGUCACCUUGGAGGGCAUCACCUACGGGCAGAGAAUUGUUAAUAGAAGCCUUACCCGCACCCUGGGACAACCACUCCCGAUCCCCAAGGCAGAAUGAGGCAUCGUGAAGGCAUCCAUCCAGGCUCUGGCCAAGCCGCACAAGCCCGGUCCCCCAGAUCCCACUGUGUUUCAUCUGUUGCAUUGUGCUCCUGACACCGGGUUUGGGGACACACGGGAGUUGUGGGCUUUGCACGAGUGGUACCGGACAAGCUGCCCUGGGAUAACAGCAGUGCACAGAGCUGCGAUCCAUCUCCUCUCCAUCCCUCUCGACUGAAUUGGAGCUGAGCACGACCAUAUGCCCUGCAGAUUUAUCCCUUGGAAAUGGGAUGAAAAUCGGAAGACUCACCGAGUAGAAGAAAGAGAUUUCUACCCAGCGGUAUCUCGCUCCCCCGUCAAGGCAAUCCUCACCACCUGAAGCACAAUCACCACUUGUCUUGGGUGAAAGAUGCUGAAUUCUCGCCAGUGGUGCCCAAAAGGGAAGGGAAGGGGUAGAGGGAAGUGCUCCAAUGACAAGGGGAGGCUUCUUCCCCCUGGGAAGAUGCAGCCCCACGCACGGUGGGUGCAGGGCUGAGAGGCUGCUCCUCUGUGAGCAGCGACAGCAAAGCCUGUCCUGUGGGUCUGCCCUGCUGGUACUUCUCCGAGAGCAGACUGAUGGCAGCGAGCUCUCUGCUGACUAUCAAUUUCCCACUUUCUUGGCUUGUGCAAAAUCCUCUGGGAAAACCAGAGGGGGACCGAGAGGUCCUUUUGUAGAGCUGCAAAGUAGUGCUGAUACUCACACUUCUGUUAGCAGAGAGGCAGAGCCUGCGGAGGAGGCGUCACACCACUGUGGGGACAGGUCGUGCACAACCAGCCCAGCAAGAGCAAAAGGGAGCUGGGAGAGACCCUUGUGUCAGCUCAGACCCAGGCGCACUGGUAAGUCACUGCUGCUUCGGGCUGAGAUGCUCCUGUGGAGGCAGAGGUGGUCCCCAGAAACCAACAAGGAGCCAGCGCCAUGCUUGGUCCUGCCCCAGGCUCCCAACACUCAGCACAGUGGGCAGAAAGCUGGACACUCGCAGGUGGUGCAGAUGGAAGGGAUCCCCUUGUCCAGAGCAGGCUCUGGUGACUCCUCUUAGCCCUGGUCACAACCUGUCCUUAAGUCUUCUGCUGACUUCCAUGGCAGGCAGGCAAGUGUAGCUGUUUCCUAGGUACUGAAGGCAGCCAGAAGCUACAUUUACUUCUAAUAGGUAUAAAAUAAGUGACAUGCUAUU